CCUACGGGAGGCAGCAGUGAGGAAUAUUGAUCAAUGGACGAGAGUCUGAACCAGCCAAGUAGCGUGAAGGAUGACUGCCCUAUGGGUUGUAAACUUCUUUUAUAUGGGAGUAAAAUGUUCCACGUGUGGGAUUUUGUCUGUACCAUAUGAAUAAGGAUCGGCUAACUCCGUGCCAGCAGCCGCGGUAAUACGGAGGAUCCGAGCGUUAUCCGGAUUUAUUGGGUUUAAAGGGUGCGUAGGUGGAUUGUUAAGUCAGUUGUGAAAGUUUGCGGCUCAACCGUAAAAUUGCAGUUGAAACUGGCAGUCUGGAGUAGAGUAGAGGUGGGCGGAAUGCGUGGUGUAGCGGUGAAAUGCUUAGAUAUCACGAAGAACUCCGAUUGCGAAGGCAGCACACUGGACUGAAACUGACACUGAGGCUCGAAAGUGUGGGUAUCGAACAGGAUUAGAUACCCCAGUAGUC
rnacentral:rRNA from 1 species